rnacentral:rRNA from 1 species
AUUGAACGCUGGCGGCAUGCCUUACACAUGCAAGUCGAACGGUAACAGGUUAAGCUGACGAGUGGCGAACGGGUGAGUAAUACAUCGGAACGUGCCCAGACGUGGGGGAUAGCUCGGCGAAAGCCGGAUUAAUACCGCAUAAGCUCUGAGGAGGAAAGCGGGGGACCGUAAGGCCUCGCGCGUUUGGAGCGGCCGAUGGCAGAUUAGGUAGUUGGUGGGGUAAAGGCUUACCAAGCCUACGAUCUGUAGCUGGUCUGAGAGGACGACCAGCCACACUGGGACUGAGACACGGCCCAGACUCCUACGGGAGGCAGCAGUGGGGAAUUUUGGACAAUGGGCGAAAGCCUGAUCCAGCAAUGCCGCGUGCAGGAUGAAGGCCUUCGGGUUGUAAACUGCUUUUGUACGGAACGAAAAGGCGCCUACUAAUACUGGGUGUUGAUGACGGUACCGUAAGAAUAAGCACCGGCUAACUACGUGCCAGCAGCCGCCGCCG